AGAGCAGCAACACCGGGAGCAGAGCUGAACUGCAGCGCCGCCCGGAGCUUCAAGCACCAUGUAUGACCCAGAGCGCCGCUGGAGCCUGUCGUUUGCAGGCUGCGGCUUCCUGGGCUUCUACCACGUCGGGGCUACGCUAUGUCUGAGCGAGCGCGCCCCGCACCUCCUCCGCGAUGCGCGCACUUUCUUUGGCUGCUCGGCCGGUGCACUGCACGCGGUCACCUUCGUGUGCAGUCUCCCUCUCGGUGCGUCCACGGCCACUACCCAGGCCCCGCGUGCGGGGAGGGGUUGCUACACCUGGGGAAUCGGUAACACUUUCCGGGGUGCCCGAAGAAACCUGUCCGGAGAGCUCUCAUCCUUCCCGGUGCCGUUGAGCACUCAGCUGGAGACCCUGGGCCUGUCACCUGGCGUGGGAUUUCCCGGGGCCGGCUGGAGCAGACGCGCUCCGAGCAUCUUCUUCCUGACCCGCUCUGGCGCCCUGGUCCUGUCAGCUGGGUCAUCCCUGAGCAGCAGGGAACGACGCAGGUUUGCCGGGUCCUCUGGUCCCUGAGCCGCAGAAGGCCGUAUAAUGGAGAUCCUCAUGGACCUCGUGCGGAAAGCCAGGAGCCGCAACAUCGGCACCCUCCACCCGUUCUUCAACAUUAACAAGUGCAUCAGAGACGGGCUCCAGGAGAGCCUCCCAGACAAUGUCCACCAGGUCAUUUCUGGCAAGGUUCACAUCUCACUCACCAGGGUGUCGGAUGGGGAGAACGUGCUGGUGUCUGAGUUCCAUUCCAAAGACGAAGUCGUGGAUGCCCUGGUGUGUUCCUGCUUCAUUCCCCUCUUCUCUGGCCUAAUCCCUCCUUCCUUCCGAGGCGAGCGGUACGUGGACGGAGGAGUGAGCGACAACGUCCCUGUGCUGGAUGCCAAAACCACCAUCACGGUGUCACCUUUCUACGGUGAGCAUGACAUCUGCCCCAAAGUCAAGUCCACCAACUUCUUCCACGUGAAUAUCACCAACCUCAGCCUCCGCCUCUGCACUGGGAACCUCCAACUUCUGACCAGAGCGCUCUUCCCGUCUGAUGUGAAGGUGAUGGGAGAGCUGUGCUAUCAAGGGUACCUGGACGCCUUCCGGUUCCUGGAGGAGAAUGCUUAUGAACAGUUGCAGAGAGACUCCCACACAGCUAGAGAGUGAGCUAGCGAUCUGGGGCGGAACCACAAACCACACUCCCAUCUCUGCCUGACUGCGCACACCGCACUCCUCAUCCUCUCUGUUCUGCUGAGGAAGGCCAAGCACAGAUGCUCGUUCAGAGUCGCACAGCCAUUACUUGGCAGAGCCAGCUCUGGUGUCCAAGGCAUCUGUAACGGGCCACAGCGCAGCCUGAGUCUGUCCUUGGUGGCGCCAGAAGCCUGCUUGGAAAAUGGCAAACUUGUGGGAGACAAGGUGCCAGUCAGCCUAUGCUUUACAGAUGAGAACAUCUGGGAGACACUGUCCCCCGAGCUCAGCACAGCUCUGAGUGAAGCGAUUAAGGACAGGGAGGGCUACCUGAGCAAAGUCUGCAACCUCCUGCCCGUCAGGAUCCUGUCCUACAUCAUGCUGCCCUGCAGUCUGCCCGUGGAGUCGGCUAUCGCUGCAGUCCACAGGCUGGUGACAUGGCUCCCUGAUAUCCAGGAUGAUAUCCAGUGGCUACAAUGGGCGACAUCCCAGGUUUGUGCCCGAAUGACGAUGUGCCUGCUCCCCUCUACCAGCAUGAGAUUCCUGGGACAAUCCCAAUUCCUUGGCCUCCAUUGUAUCAAAGGGCUGAAAACCAAAGGGAAGGCACAGCUGUCUCUUCAGCAUGCCUCUUCUGCCAGAACCACUGCAAGGUUUGGUGCUCAGGCUGUGCAAACAUUCUAGCAAUGUUUGACUCAGUGUCAAGCAGGUGACAAGGAACAUGGUGCUGUGUGGGGGGAACCCAUGGCCCAGGUGAGGGCUUAUUGGUGGGUGAAGCUGUGGGUGUUCAGGUGGUGGAGAAGGCCUUAAGGGAUGGGACUGACACCUCAGCACUGAAGGCAGGAGGAAGCUGUGGCUCUGGGUUGCACCCCUGCCUGGCUCCACCCUCUCUGGCAUCUGUAGAAGUUACAGCUGGUUCUUCCUCUCAGCCCCAUGCUCCCAGAAAUAAGACUCAGACCCAAAUUAUAGUUACAAAUACCUUGGCCAUAUAGCUAGGCUCUUCUCAGACUAGCUCAUAACUUAACUCAUUAAUUUUAACCUCCAUCCUGCCACAUGGCUGGUGGCCUGUGCUCAGGUACCAUGAGUCCAGCUCUUCACAUCUUUCCGGAUGAAUCUUCCAUAAUUCUUUCUGCCUCCUGGAUGUUCCACCUUCUAUUCCACCUUUUCCUAUAGGCCAUGGUUUUGUUUUUGUUUUUUUUUUCCAAAUUUAAUUUAAUUAAUUAAUUUAUUUAUUUUUGGUUUUUCGAGACAGGGUUUCUCUGUAUCGCCCUGGCUGUCCUGGAACUCACUAUGUAAGCCAGGCUGGCCUCAAACUCAGAAAUCCGCCUGCCUCUGCCUCCUGAGUGCUGGGAUUAAAGGCGUGCGCAACCAUGCCCGGUGUGGUUUUUUUUUUUUUUUAAUUGACAGGUGGAUGCAUCUAUAUAAUCCAUAACAUAUUCUCUCUACAGGUAUCUAUUAGGUUUUGGGUGAGGUGUGGAGUUCUAGGGAACUCUGAGAGAAAUUCCUGGGGAGUAAGUGGUUUAUCAAGUUGAUUGGAGGAGUUUUUAAUGCUAUGGACAGACAGACAGAAGGACAACAGCAUAGUCGGGGCUACCAGGGAGUUCAGGCCCCGGCAUCGGAGAUAGAAGCAGGAUGGGGUCUUUGAAGAGAUUCUGAGCCCACACAGCAGAGGAGGGACUCUCUCUUUAGAGCUUUUGAGGAUGAGGGAGGUUGACUGCAAGAGCCUACAGCCAGGCUCGAGGCAGGCAGGGGGUGGGGAGCAGGAUGUAAACCCCUUCGAUGCUGACAGACUCACUUCUGGGGUAAAAUAUUAUGAGAUGCCUGUCAGUGUCUGUGAAGAGACCUGAGCAGAGUCUGGAUUCUGACAUCAAUCAUGUUCUUACAAUACUGAAGACCUGAGAGCCUGCAAUCUUGGUUUGUAAAUUGCUGGUCUCCGUGCUUCCAGUGAACUUGGACAUUCUUCUCAUGGUUGGUCCAGGAGAGGCCAAAGCUGAGGGCACCCUGCCUUCCACCCCCAGUCCAGCUUGACCUUUUAUCUGGAGCAACAGUGUCUAGAUGAUGGGUGGGUGAGGGGUGCUAUACUGUCUGUCCCUCUGGGAAGGGUUCUGUUACUUUUGGAGGCAGCUAGGAAGUUUCUCUGUGCAGCUGCCCCCUGGUGCUGUGUGGUGACCUCAUUGCCUGUGACCCCAGGAUCACAGGAUCUGGGCUAAAGUGGUAGUCCAUAGAAACCAAAGACAAUGAUUUGGUGUUUAGAAAGCUACUCUUGGUCUGGGUGAAGUCUGGUGCUUAAGGGCUAUCACAAAGAGCGUGUCAAACCAUCUCUCAGCCUGUGAGUCAGUGGGGAGCCCAAGGGCAUCAGUGUUUGGAAACUGGAAUCCAAACCGGGCAAUCUCGGAAGGAAACUGUUUAGGAAUUGUGAUGGGACGGGCCGUGGCUGUCUCUGAAAAGGGCCUGCCAGAUAACUUAUUACUUUUAAGGACACCUUUGGCUCUUACUAAUUUAUAAAGCAUUUUAUAUAAACACACCAGGGAGUGCAUGGUGAACUACACGUAUGAUCAGUUAAGUGGGGCUAGAAUUAGGUAGGGAGAGCAUCGGACCUCUGCCUCCUCAACCUCAACUUGCUUGCUUUCUCCACUGGCUCCAAAUCUUUGUAUAGUCAUCAGCCAUGACCACCUCUCUCCCUCCCCAUCUACUACCAGCAGCGUUAAUGGGAAUAAGUACCCACUUCUCUCAGGUGUACUAUACAGCUGUGGGUGUGGUGUGUGUUUCCUGUAAUUCACACUUUAGAAAGGAAACAAGCAAACAAAAGAAACCAGGUGCUGCCCAUACUCCUAAGUGUAGACAGUGAAGGUGUGUGUCUCCCAUGCCUGAGUCUCCUGGAGGCCUAGUGAGCUCCAGGUUCAUGCAAGCACAUCAGGAGGAAUCAUAUAAUCUCAGCACGGUUGAUCCAGAUGGGAUAAGAAAGGACUCUGGGAGAGAGAAUGUGGUUCUAGAGACAAAGUGUCUAGGCUACACAGAAGAUAAGACUGUCCCAAGGAAAGAAAAGAAACCAGGAACUAGGGUGCAGCUCAGUUGUCAGAGGACUUCUCUAGGCUUGAAGCCCAGAGUCCAAUCUCAGCACCUUAUAAACUGUGGAGUGACAGGCAGUGACAUCGGCCUGUAAUCCCAACACUCAAGCAGUAGAGGCAAGAGGAUCAUAAGUUCAAGGUCUUCCUUGGCUAUUUAGGGAGUUGGAGGUUAGCUCUGGCUACAUGAGACCCUGUCUCAAAAAAAAAAAAAAAAAAAAGUAGAAACUUCUGCCUUGCUUUGAGCUGCCCCUUUCUGGACGUUUCUCAUCAGUAGAGAAUAUUCCUGCCACCCUAUCAGACAAAACUCCCACUGGUUUGGAGUCUCUCCAUUCUCAGGAACACCUCAGGAGUCAGACAGUGAGCAGCAGGGAGCAAUGUCUUGACUUGUAAGCCCCUUAGCAAGGCUGGUUCAUUUGUUUAUUAAAAGCAGGUGUGGGUGAAUUUAUGCAAAUGAGUAUGCAAACUAGUGGAACAGCAGAAGGAUUGAAUGGAUACACCAAAAAUAACCACAACUGUUUAAGGGAAAAGGGUCCAUAAUAAAUGUGGGGAACAAAAAACAAAUAAAUGUGAUUUUUUUUAGAAAAA